GACGAACGCUGGCGGCGUGCUUAACACAUGCAAGUCGAACGGUAAGGCCCUUCGGGGUACACGAGUGGCGAACGGGUGAGUAACACGUGGGUGAUCUGCCCUGCACUUCGGGAUAAGCCUGGGAAACUGGGUCUAAUACCGGAUAGGACCCUGGGAUGCAUGUCCUGGGGUGGAAAGCUUUUGCGGUGUGGGAUGGGCCCGCGGCCUAUCAGCUUGUUGGUGGGGUGAUGGCCUACCAAGGCGACGACGGGUAGCCGGCCUGAGAGGGUGACCGGGCACACGGGAACGGAGAUACGGCCCAGACUCCUACGGGAGGCGGCAGUGGGGAAUAUUGCACAAUGGGCGCAAGCCUGAUGCAGCGACGCCGCGUGAGGGAUGACGGCCUUCGGGUUGUAAACCUCUUUCAGCACCGACGAAGCGCAAGUGACGGUAGGUGCAGAAGAAGGACCGGCCAACUACGUGCCAGCAGCCGCAGUAA
rnacentral:rRNA from 1 species